rnacentral:lncRNA from 1 species
AACUAUUUAAUUUUAUAUUUGAAAAAAAAGAAGAAUAGGAGUAAAUAAUGUUUUAGCAAAGAACCUUGUUGCAAAGGAAGUGAACAAAGAAAUAAAGUGUGAAGGGUAUUUUUGUAAACAUACAUUUUUUUAAUAGACAUUAUGCAAGAUUUGUUAUUUCUAAUACAUCAAACCAAACAGUGUAUAAGAAAUAAUGCAGACAUAACUAAUGCAAGCAUUACUAAUGCAAGCACUACUAAUGCAGGCAUUACUAAUACACCCUAUUUUGCAUUAUUCUUAUACACUCUACCAAACGACCC